rnacentral:rRNA from 1 species
GGGGGGGGGGGGGGGCGGGCGUGAGGCAUGCAGGGGGAGGGGGAGGGGCCGGCGUUUGUGGGGUGCUCGCGUGGCGAACGGGUGAGUACGCCGGGGGUAGGCUGCGGGUUGUGUUGUGUUGACUUCUGAAAACUGGGUCUCAUCCCGUAUGUGAUCUGCUGCGGGAUGGUGUGGGUUGGACAUUUUCGGCGGUUGGGGAUGGAAUCGCGGCUUAUCAGCUUGUUGGUGGGGUAGUGGCUUACCAAGAUGUUGACGGGUAGCCGGCCUGAGAGGGUGACCGGCCACAUUGGGACUGAGAUACGGCCCAGACUCCUCCGGGAGGCAGCAGUGGGGAAUAUUGCACAAUGGGCGGAAGCCUGAUGCAGCAACGCCGCGUGCGGGAUGACGGCCUUCGGGUUGUAAACCGCUUUCGCCUGUGACGAAGCGUGAGUGACGGUAAUGGGUAAAGAAGCACCGGCUAACUACGUG